rnacentral:misc_RNA from 1 species
UAGAAUUUCGUUACAAACGUUUAUAUUUUAAUAUUCAUAUGCUAAUAUUUCAAAUCGAAUAUCAAUGUUUUCAAUACUUAAAAAUUAAAAGUCUAAAAGAUCGAUAUCUUGCAACUUUCCCUUAAUCUCACUGAAAAUUUUCAAUUAUUAUUUUGUUUACUCUUAUGGUAUCUAUAUUACAACACAAUAUCCAGCUCAUAAACUAUAAAGCCCUAAAAAAUCAGACUUUAUAGUUUUCUCUUCGCCCGCUGAUACUUUCAUUUACUUUUUGUUUUCAUCCACCAUCGUAUCCAUUAUAACGCGAUACUCAGUUUUCGAAUGACAAAACGCAAGAAUUUAUUUCUGCCAAGACCCGUUUACAAUGUUGCGGCGUAAACAGCAUCGAGGAUCACGGGAGGAACUCGACGCCAUCGUCAUCCCCAUGGAUCUGUCGCACCUCCAGCCCCGACGUAGGCAAUAACAGCGACGAGAAGAAGAGGAACGUGUCACCAGUGGGCUGCCUUGAUGCGAUAACGUUGGAUUUGAUGUGGAUUACGGCGUACAUCAUAGGACUUUGUUUCAUAGCGAUUUUCGGCGACAUUUUGGUAAUCUUGUCCGUUGCAAUCCUUCUAUGGAAGACUGAUCGGGAAAAUAAGUAAUGAAAAUGAGCGGAAAACAGAGGGAGACGAGCAGGAAGCUGACAUUAUAUCGAUGUAGCAGGCUUGCAGGAUGGAAUUACGUUUUGCAACUGUGGAUAAAGUUGAAGCUACGUUGCCUCUUGAAGUUAGUUCACCGAUAUACCAUAAGUUUGAGAUUAAUUUAACCCUCGAAUAUAAAUAGAGAAGCAGCGACAGGGACCUGAUAUAUGGAUCCGCGAUGCCUAUUAACGAUCAACCCAAAAGCAUGAAACAGGAACAAAACUGUGGAAAAAAUGAAUGAACCCAUGCCUUCGCCCGUUGAAAAUUAUUCAAUUACAUGGCUUGAAGUUUUUCUUUGUGCGAAUUUCUAUUACCUACAAAUUAAAUACAUUAACGUUUUUCUUGAA